UCUAUACGGAGUUACAAAGGACGACAUUAGACGAAUCAUCUGGAAAGAUGAAUCAAAGAAGGUAAUAAUCCUGUAGUCGAAAAUGUUGUCUCUCUUGAGUGGAUCCUGAGUACGACGGAGCACGUGAAAUUCCGUCGGAAUCUGGGAGGACCAUCUCCUAAGGCUAAAUACUCUCUAGUGACCGAUAGUGAACCAGUACCGUGAGGGAAAGGUGAAAAGCACCCCGGAAGGGGAGUGAAAUAGAACCUGAAACCGUGUGCUUACAAGUAGUCAGAGCCCGUUAAUGGGUGAUGGCGUGCCUUUUGUAGAAUGAACCGGCGAGUUACGAUUUGAUGCAAGGUUAAGCAGUAAAUGUGGAGCCGUAGCGAAAGCGAGUCUGAAUAGGGCGUUUAGUAUUUGGUCGUAGACCCGAAACCAGGUGAUCUACCCUUGGUCAGGUUGAAGUUCAGGUAACACUGAAUGGAGGACCGAACCGACUUACGUUGAAAAGUGAGCGGAUGAACUGAGGGUAGCGGAGAAAUUCCAAUCGAACCUGGAGAUAGCUGGUUCUCUCCGAAAUAGCUUUAGGGCUAGCCUCAAGUGAUGAUUAUUGGAGGUAGAGCACUGUUUGGACGAGGGGCCCCUCUCGGGUUACCGAAUUCAGACAAACUCCGAAUGCCAAUUAAUUUAACUUGGGAGUCAGAACAUGGGUGAUAAGGUCCGUGUUCGAAAGGGAAACAGCCCAGACCACCAGCUAAGGUCCCAAAAUAUAUGUUAAGUGGAAAAGGAUGUGGCGUUGCCCAGACAACUAGGAUGUUGGCUUAGAAGCAGCCAUCAUUUAAAGAGUGCGUAAUAGCUCACUAGUCGAGUGACACUGCGCCGAAAAUGUACCGGGGCUAAACAUAUUACCGAAGCUGUGGAUUGUCCUUUGGACAAUGGUAGGAGAGCGUUCUAAGG
rnacentral:rRNA from 1 species